rnacentral:lncRNA from 1 species
GGGCUGUUGGUGACGGCAUGGUUUGCGCUUGCCGUAUGACGCUGAUUCCCCGCCCCCCUCGCCGUGAGAGGUUGUGCGUGGUUGGUGGCUUUGUGUGUGGGCAGGAUGCACGUGUGGGCGACCGUUCUAGUACCUGGACGCUUGCGCCCUGGUUAGUGCGUGCGCUGUGCGUGUCCUGCGGCCUAGACGUUUCCCGGCACUCCUGUGCCUAGGCUUGUGGCGUUGAGGCACAGCGGUGGGGCUCUGGCGGGUUGAGGCUUGGCUAGGACUCACUGUGCGCGGAGUCACACGGACUUUGCCCGCGAGAGGGUUUGCAGCAAAGUCGGGGUUGGUGGAGUCAAGUUGGGCCCUGAUAGCAUGUGAUGGCUCGGCGUCUUCGGGUGCUGGGACUGUCCCCUCUGUAACAUCCGCAUUCAUAACUUUGCACCCAGAACCGCAUUUUGAUUUUGAAAGCAAAUUCGUGGAUUUCUCGUUGAUCUCUAUCCAUUUGAAUCAUGGAGCUGUUUCGGAUGAUUCUAACCUGAUGUCACAUUCACAUCACUCACCAGCAUGCAAGGGGCGCCCAGCCGCCCACCCACCCAGUGAGGGGCGCCGCGGGGCGCCACAGCACCACACAUAUGCACGCAAUACCUCACCGGCACACAACAUUGCAAUGCGGGCCACGUUGGCCGCUCCUCCUUCCACCACACACCAGGGGUGCCACCACACACACAUAAGUGCACCAGGGGCGCGCCGGCCGCCUCAGCACCGCACACACGCCCGGCCAGCCUCACCUUUGCGCAACGCUGGCAUUUCCGCCAUGUCUGCCCCAGUCUGCCCCCCGCGCGCACACACAAGCACACUAGGGACUCUCCAGUCGCUUCAUAAGGGCGUGACGGGCGCUACAGCACCACACACACGGUCGCCUUGCCUCGCCUUCCGUCAGACCAAACCGGCAUGCCCGCCAAGCCUGCCCCCGGCACGCAACUCGGCUCCUAAGGGCGCUGCGGGGCGCCAUUCAUCCACAGCGGCGGUGCCCACCAGCGGGGCACCACACGCAUGCAACACCGGCAACGCAACAUUGCAAUGUGCACCCCUGCUCCUCUGCCACACAGUACCAGUUUGUAACACGAGUAUGUACGCGAUUGGUACGUAAAUAGCAAUUCGCCGUUUCAUAAACUCAUGAUGUUAACCGGGUCCCGCUGCGUGGGCAGCCCUAUGGCACCCAAACGAUCGUUACGAUCGCUGUUACCUAGGUCGUAGAUCGUUACCCCUCCGGCAUCGUUACGAUCUCGCUACGAUCUGCUUACCAUCUUAACCAGCCAUGGUAACAGCCUUGUCACGGUCUACAAGGCACACCAGUAACCAUCACUUUGACGCCCGUUACAUGGCAGCCUUGUGCUUUGCUGAAGGCCUACCUCAGUACUAACGUAAGAACUAUGUAGUCCUACCGCUACUCCACAUGCUAGCCAUCUGUCAAGGCGACAAGUGCAGAUGCUCAUGCAACACUUAUGCAACACUACCGCAAGUCCAUACGUACAUGCAACAAUACGCCUAGUCAUGUCUGCGUGUGAACGUGCAACUAGCCACUGGCAGCAACCACUUGCAUGUCAGCUGGGCACAACGUCUCUGACCCACCACCUUGACGCCCGCCGCCACCACAGCUACCAUGCCAAACUAUGCCACUGGCUCCGCCGCGCCCGCCUCCAUCUCUAGCGCCAGACAGCUGGUGUCACGCUGGCUCCUGUAGUUUUGCUUCCACCGGCAGCGCCUGCAUGCACGCGUGCACACACAUAGACACACCCAGUUAAUCGUCUGCCACAAGACGGGUAGGUGCCAAUGCAUGUCAAGGCCAGCCAUGGACAGAGUGCUUGGCAGUGCACGGGGCCUACCACACAAGGCGUGUCUGUGUGCACAUGUGCAUGUGUGUGCGCCCACACGUGUCACGGACACUCACCGUUGAUGAGCACAAUGCUGGAGGUGUAGGGGCAGUCCAGCCAACCGUACGGUCCAUAGGGUACAACAGGGGUUGGGCAGCAAGCUGUCGCGGGGCAGGGUGUGUGCGUGCGGAGGGGGGCGUGGUGGUAUGUGAGACACAAGGCACCGUGGCAAGGGAGCCAUAAAAACACCUUACAGCGAGCGCUAGUAAGGGAGGCAGCAGACAGUCACUAGUAGGCGGGGGCUCCACCAGACAACCCAACACAGCGCGAGAAGAUGAACUCGAGGUACCACUAGGUUCAACGCAUCCCAUCGUCAUUCAACCUGCGAACUAACCUGCGGACUAACCUGCGGACUAUGGCGUGCGGGGCGAGGGUGAUGUUGACAGAACGCGAUGUUGAAUGGCGUUGUUGACGCCGGUGACCGAGACUUCUCGGUCGGACAUUUGAAGCGCAGCUGAUAGACUAUGAGGCAUAGUCGUUUCUCUCACGUAAUAGCUGGCUGCAGCUGACGUGUGAGCAGCGUUGCCAAGCCGGUCAACGAGCAGUCAGCAGCGUGAGGACUCGCGUCCCAAGCCAGCCAAGCAGCGUCUGCCGCCAGCUCUUGUUCUACUGACAUUUGAGCUAGCAUAAAUUUGUGUUACGAAGAGAAGUAGCAAGCGCGAGAGAGCAAAGUGGGGGAGAGGAACAGAAGUGCAGCGGCACCGGCAUGAAGUGCAGAGUAUCAGUAUAUGUAUGGUACUAUAUCAGUAUAUGUGUAGUAGUAUCAGGGGCCGCUCUAUGCUGCUUGUUAAGUCAGGCCCGCGAGAACCCCAUGCAGGAACCCUGUUACCCCUCGCGAAGGCCCCGUUACCCCUGGCUUAGGGUCGUUACCACGCCCAAGGGUCCCUGUCACAAUGUCACACAGUCGGCCUACAGCCCCCAGACUUCCUCGUUCGCGAGCGCAAAGACUACAUACGUUUAAGGCUUCACAUAUUAGACUGUUUCAACACAAACUGUCACUACAAUACGCACUUUGCAGACUAGAAUGUCGGCAUGUUCACUUGUCGGCGACGAAAGGCACUCCGCCCAGUCCGCAAUGUGCGUAUGCAUGACAAUUAGCUAAGAGGUGACCACAGCGCCACUUGGCUUGCGUCCUGGGCGUGCCAGGCCGUGCGGGCCCGAAACAAUCGUUACCCCCUGUCCGGGGAUCGUCACCCCCGUUUUUGGAUCGUUAUCACCAUUUGGGUGCCAUAGGGCAGUCGACGCCUGCUGCACAUGGGCAGCCAGGGGCACCGGCGUCCUUCACGUUGCACAAUAGCAGUAGCGGCGAGCGCGGCCGGCGCGGACGAGG